rnacentral:misc_RNA from 1 species
GACAGAGGGUGCGAACGUUGCUCGGAAUCACUGGGUGUAAAGCGCGUGUAGGCGGACACGGAAGUCGGGUGUGAAAUCCCUGGGCUCAACCUAGGAACUGCAUCCGAAACUCCGCGUCUAGAGUACCGGAGAGGGAAGCGGAAUUCCUGGUGUAGAGGUGAAAUUCGUAGAUAUCAGGAGGAACACCGGUGGCGAAGGCGGCUUCCUGGACGGUAACUGACUCUGAGGCGCGAAAGCGUGGGGAGCAAACAGG